rnacentral:rRNA from 1 species
GACGUAGGAUGCAAGCGUUGUCCGGAUUUAUUGGGCGUAAAGAGUUCGUAGGUGGUUUGUUAAGUCUGAUGUUAAAGACUGGGGCUCAACUGGGAGGGUGCGCCGAAUACUGAGGGACUAGAGUACGGGAGAGGAAAGUGGAAUUCCUGGUGUAGCGGUGAAAUGCGUAGAUAUCAGGAGGAACACCGGUGGUGUAGACGGCUUUCUGGACCGUAACUGACGCUGAGACACGAAAGCGUGGGUAGCAAACAGG